GUCCACGCUGUAAACGAUGAACACUAGAUGUCGGGAGAGGUUUCUUCCGGUGUCGUCGCUAACGCAGUAAGUGUUCCGCCUGGGGAGUACGCUCGCAAGGGUGAAACUCAAAGGAAUUGACGGGGCCCGCACAAGCGGUGGAGCAUGUGGUUUAAUUCGAUGCAACGCGAAGAACCUUACCUGGGCUUGACAUGGGAAUGACCGCUCGAGAGAUCGAGCUUUCUCUUCGGAGACAUUCCGCACAGGUGCUGCAUGGCUGUCGU
rnacentral:rRNA from 1 species